GGGGCCGUAGCUCAGUUGGGAGAGCGCCUGGUUUGCACCCAGGAGGUCGCCGGUUCAAGUCCGGUCGGCUCCA
rnacentral:tRNA from 2 species